rnacentral:misc_RNA from 1 species
UCUCCGUUGGUGAACCAGCGGAGGGAUCAUUACAGGACUCGCAAGACUCCUACAACCCUGUGAACUUAACUAUAAGCACGUUGCUUCGGCGGGUGUCUCGGAGGGGGUUCUCCCUCCCCGAGACGCUAAACCCGCCGGCAGCCUACUAUACGCUGUCUCUUUGCGUUGGCAUCUCGAGUACAAUCAAACAAGUUAAAACUUUCAACAACGGAUCUCUUGGUUCUG